UCACUCAAAGAUGAUCCCGCGUUGUAUUAGCUAGUUGGUGAGGUAAAGGCUCACCAAGGCGAUGAUACAUAGCCGACCUGAGAGGGUGAUCGGCCACAUUGGGACUGAGACACGGCCCAAACUCCUACGGGAGGCAUCAGUAGGGAAUCUUCGGCAAUGGACGAAAGUCUGACCGAGCAACGCCGCGUGAGUGAAGAAGGUUUUCGGAUCGUAAAACUCUGUUGGUAGAGAAGAACGUUGGUGAGAGUGGAAAGCUCAUCAAGUGACGGUCACUACCCAGAAAGGGACGGCUAACUACGUGCCAGCAGCCGCGGUAAUACGUAGGUCCCGAGCGUUGUCCGGAUUUAUUGGGCGUAAAUCGAGCGCAGGUGGUUUAUUAAGUCUGGUGUAAAAGGCAGUGGCUCAACCAUUGUAUGCAUUGGANACUGGUAGACUUGAGUGCAGGAGAGGAGAGUGGAAUUCCAUGUGUAGCGGUGAAAUGCGUAGAUAU
rnacentral:rRNA from 1 species